AUUGAACGCUGGCGGCAGGCCUAACACAUGCAAGUCGAACGAGUGGCGGACGGGUGAGUAAUGUCUGGGAAACUGCCUGAUGGAGGGGGAUAACUAAUGGAAACGGUAGCUAAUACCGCAUACCAUCAGAUGUGCCCAGAUGGGAUUAGCUGGUGGGUGGGGUAAAGGCUCACCAAGGCGAAGAUCUCUAGCUGGUGUGAGAGGAUGACCAGCAACACUGGAACUGAGACACGGUCCAGACUCCUACGGGCGGCAGAAUGGGGGAAUAUUGCACAAUGGGCGCAAGCCUGAUGCAGCCAUGCCGCGUGUAUGAAGAAGGCCUUCGGGUUGUAAAGUACUUUCAGCGGGGAGGCGUUACCCGCAGAAGAAGCACCGGCUAACUCCGUGCCAGCCGCCGCGGUAAUUC
rnacentral:rRNA from 1 species